rnacentral:rRNA from 2 species
CGUAAAGAGCUCGUAGGUGGUUUGUCGCGUUGUUCGUGAAAUCUCACGGCUUAACUGUGAGCGUGCGGGCGAUACGGGCAGACUUGAGUACUGCAGGGGAGACUGGAAUUCCUGGUGUAGCGGUGGAAUGCGCAGAUAUCAGGAGGAACACCGGUGGCGAAGGCGGGUCUCUGGGCAGUAACUGACGCUGAGGAGCGAAAGCGUGGGGAGCGAACAGGAUUAGAUACCCUGGUAGUCCACGCCGUAAACGGUGGGUACUAGGUGUGGGUUUCCUUCCUUGGGAUCCGUGCCGUAGCUAACGCAUUAAGUACCCCGCCUGGGGAGUACGGCCGCAAGGCUAAAACUCAAAGAAAUUGACGGGGGCCCGCACAAGCGGCGGAGCAUGUGGAUUAAUUCGAUGCAACGCGAAGAACCUUACCUGGGUUUGACAUGCACAGGACGCCGGCAGAGAUGUCGGUUCCCUUGUGGCCUGUGUGCAGGUGGUGCAUGGCUGUCGUCAGCUCGUGUCGUGAGAUGUUGGGUUAAGUCCCGCAACGAGCGCAACCCUUGUCUCAUGUUGCCAGCGGGUAAUGCCGGGGACUCGUGAGAGACUGCCGGGGUCAACUCGGAGGAAGGUGGGGAUGACGUCAAGUCAUCAUGCCCCUUAUGUCCAGGGCUUCACACAUGCUACAAUGGCCGGUACAAAGGGCUGCGAUGCCGCGAGGUUAAGCGAAUCCUUUUAAAGCCGGUCUCAGUUCGGAUCGGGGUCUGCAACUCGACCCCGUGAAGUCGGAGUCGCUAGUAAUCGCAG